AUACGUAGGGAGCGAGCGUUAUCCGGAUUUACUGGGUGUAAAGGGCGAGUAGGCGGGAUGGCAAGUUGGGAGUGAAAUCUGGGGGCUCAACCCCCAAACUGCUUUCAAAACUGUUAUUCUUGAGUGAUGGAGAGGCAGGCGGAAUUCCGUGUGUAGCGGUGAAAUGCGUAGAUAUACGGAGGAACACCAGUGGCGAAGGCGGCCUGCUGGACAUUAACUGACGCUGAGGAGCGAAAGCGUGGGGAGC
rnacentral:rRNA from 1 species